rnacentral:tRNA from 1 species
GUGGAUGUAGCUCAACGGUGGAGCACCAGACUGUGGCUCUGGGGGCUGUGGGUUCGAAUCCCAUCAUCCACCCCA